rnacentral:rRNA from 1 species
GUGCUAAGGUAGCACAAUCAAUUGCCUUUUAAUUAAAGGGUAGUAUGAAAGGACAAACAAGAAUAACCCUGUCUCACUUAGAAUAUAAUAACUGUCUUAAAGGUGAAAAGACCUUUAUUUAUAUGAAAGACGAGAAGACCCUAUAGCGCUUUAUCUAUGAUAGGCCAACAACUUAUAACAGAUUUAGUUGGGACAACUAAAAAUCAAUAAAACCAUUUUAAUAUUUUACACACCCUUCACUGCCCAUGAAUUAAGCAACCUUAGGGAUAACAGGCUAAUUUUACUAAAGAGAUCAUAUUGACAGUAAAGAUUGGCACCUCGAUGUUGGCUUAGCGAAACCCCUAGGCGCAGCAGCUAGAGAGGAUGGUUUGUUCAACCAUUAAAUCGCUACGUGAUU